CCUAUUGAUUUUAAGCAUAUAAUUAAGUGGAGGAAAAGAAACUUACAAGGAUUUCCCUAGUAACGACGAGUGAAUCGAGAAGAUCCCAACAUGAAAAUUGGGUGGCAGGGCCACCUGAAUUGUAGUCUAUAGAAGCAUCCUUAGCAGUGGACUGGUCCCAAGUCCCUUGGAAGGGGGAGCCUGAGAGGGUGACAGCCCCAUCAGGCUGAAACCCUGUCGCACCACAAGGAGUUGUUGGCAAGUUGGGUUGUUUGGGAAUGCAACCCUAAUCGGGUGGUAAAUUCUAUCCAAGGAUAAAUACGGGUGAGAGAUUGAUAGAAAACAAGUACCAUGAAUGAAAGAUGAAAAGGACUUUGAAAAGAGAGUUAAAGAGUGCUUCAAAUUACCAGGAAGGAAGUGGAUGGAGGUUGGUGAUGCACCUUGGUUGGAUGUGGAACGACUCAAGUUGGUCUGUCACUCAACUCAAGGUGUGAACCAUCACAGUCCAUUGCAUCGGCAUAAGUGUGGUUGGAUUAAUACCUGUUAGUUUGUCAUUAUGGUGAUCGAGGAACGAAGCAUGCGCCCCUUAGGGUGAGCCACUGUGCACUUGCAUCCUCGUGGUGUUGGUUGGCAGGCUUUCCAUUCGACCCAUCUUGAAACACAG
rnacentral:ncRNA from 1 species